rnacentral:lncRNA from 1 species
CUUCCCCAGAGCUGGGUGCGUGGCUGGACGUGACUAGGAAAGGAUGAAGGUUUCAAGAGAAUCAGCCCCCGGUGGGCUGCUGUCUCUGCGUGGCUUAGAGGGGUGGAACAAGGAACAUCACCUGACCCAAACUAGGGCUGAGUGUGUUUCCCCAGCUGGAGGAGAGGGUUUCCAGGAAGAGCCUGUCCCAAGGAAGAAUUUUUUUGCUUUGGCCUGGCAUGACCUACCACAGGGAAAGAUUACUGGGAGACAAAAUCUGAAAAUAACCCAGGAGAUUCCAAGAUUCAACUAAUAACCAGGAAUAGUAGCAAGGAAGAGACUAAGUGAAGGCAUCUAAGAAUCAACAGAA